UCAUCGACAGGGCAAAAAGUAAACAAAAGGAGCAAUAUAGAUCGGCCCACUUCGAGCCCCAUAUUACAUAACUUACACGUUAUUCAACGGUUCCGGUCAGCGCUCGUCUUUCGGAACUGUGGAUGCAUCGGUGUGUGUAACGCCUUGUAAAUUGGUUACCAAGAAUUGAUUUCGGCUCAACAGCAUCAUUGUUCAGCAGCGGCUCAGGGGGCCCAGCCAAGAUGACAAUCGAACAUCGGCAAACGCCAAACGAUAACAAAAAAUGUAUCGGGAUGAGAUGACAGAUGCUACGAAGUCAUGUACCUAUUUCUGUAUAUUAUUUAAGGGGAUAUGGGAGCUGUGCUCUUCUAAUAAUAAUAAAAAAUUAGCCUAUAUACGUCCCACUGCUGGGCAGAGGCCUCUCAUGUUCUAGAAGGCUUGGGCUAUAGUCCCCAUGGGAGCUAUAGCCCAAUGCGAGUUGGGAACUUCACAUACACUUUUGAAUUUCUUCGCGGAUGUAUGCAGGUUUCCUCACGAUCUUUUCCUUCACCAAACAGCUAGUGGUGAAUAUCAAAUGAUAUUCCGUACAGAAGUUCCAAAAUACUCAUUUCUACGAGCCAGCAUUUGAACCCGCGACCUGCGAAUUGAAAGUCGGACGUCAUAGGUACCGACUGGGCCACCACCGCUACAUCAGAUUUAAAAAAUUUAGGUGAAUAUAUCCAUCGUGCUAACGGGGGCGGCUCCUAAAAUUAGUGCGAUAAGGACAACUGCAGCUUAGGUGAAAAAUCCUGCGUAAAAAUUGUAAUCUCAAAAAUUAAGGUAUCGUACUCGACUGUUUCCCCCUCAAAAAUGUUACCAACUGUAACGACAUUUUGAAAUCUAAAUGGUAAUGAAGUUAUUUGUGUCGAGCUGUUUUGCUUCUUGGACUAAUUGAUAUCAGUUUUACUUUUUCUUUGCGGCCUAGUUAAUUAGGCCGUUUUCACAUAUGUUUGAAGUGCUCUAGCGCUUAAAAAUAUAAAAAGCAAAACAGCCCAACACAGAUAUGGAUUAAUAUUAAUUUGUGUUGAAAGAUCAUUACCUCUAGGGUAAAAAACCGCGGAGGAAAGGGUCGAGUACGUUUGUAUGGAGAACACUCCUAUAUCCUCUUAAGCACUGCUGGUUUAAACUUACGUCCAAAUGUACUCACCGCGAGACGGUGUGAGUGUGAAUAAUCUGAUAAAUGACUUAUUAUGUGUUAUUAACUUAUUACCUACUUUAUUACUCCUAUGAAUUGUUACUAUGUCUGUUACUGUUACUUAUAUGUGAGUAUAAUGAUUCUUUAGAAUAAGAUACAUAUUAAAAAAAAAAAUUACAAGUGUAAUUGUUUUUAACUGUUCUAGUAAAUAAAAGUAAGUAUUCACAACCUACAAGUCAACAGUACGAUACAAGGCAUGCAUGUACUCAUACCCAAAAGCCGAACCGUAUAUAAUCAGAAAUGAGCAACACCCUAUAGUUGCCUAUAGCAGGUGGUUCGAUUGCUCAUCUCACUUGCAAUCGGAAUGAUACGAAUAACGCGGCAAUUAGUUGGGCGAACUCCUUUCACUGUUUUUUACACACUACACGCACCUUAAACAGUAUCCUAUUAUUUUUAAACUAACAAAAUUUAUUAUUAUACACCGAAUGAUUUAGAUUAUAUUUCGUUACAAUUUAGAUAGAGGCUUACAAAGACGAAAAAAUAGCCGGGGUUAUUCUUUCCACUCGACUUUUCUUGGACACCUGUUUAGAUUUGCAUUAUACUACAAGCAAUAUUUAUAAAUAAAUAAAUUAUUUUUGCUACUAAGUAGUAAAUAAAACUAUAUCGGUAUUUAUAUCGUAGAAACUAGCAUUAACAUGCGUUAACAAUCCUUACGGCGCCGGGUAAUUGAAAUAAAUAUUUUACACCGA